AAAUGCUCUCACAGUGCUAGGAUGGACCUUGAGACGUUUCUGAGCAAGAUGAUAUGAUGUGGUUGCCUGGAAUAGCAGGAGACUGGAUCGUGCAUCCAGGAAGCCAGCUCCCAUCCAGUGUCCUAUAUUCCUGAGUUUCUUUACAGCUGUUGCAUGUCUGUGCGAGUCCAGGCCAGGGAGUCCCUCCACAGUUGUGGGCUGCAAGUUGCUGAAGACAGGGCUCUUCCGUGCCUCCACUUCGCCUCUUGUCAUGCCCCAUUUGGAAGCUGGGAGCAAUCGCCCCUCCAGAAGCAGAAGGCGAAGUCGUUCGCAAUGAAUCCAUGGCAGCUUCGAUCGAGCGGUGAGCCGAGCACCUACUCGCAGGCCACUCCUCGAUGUGACUGAAGAGAGGCCUUUCCCAGCACUUGCCGAGGAGAGCAGAACCCUGGAUUUAUGUCCCACACACUGGGGCACCCCCAGCACAAGCACUGCCAGAUCCUGCAUUAACCUGCAACUCACAGUGGCAAACAGGAAAACAAAAAGAGGAUCAAAUUUUCCCCUCAUCUCUCUGCUUUGAGGUUUUCCCACCUCUUCCCCCUAGAAAUCUGGUGAUGUCUCUCGUGAGAGUCAGUGUUGACAUCUCUCUGAUCUGGAAUGGUUGUUCCCCAGUGUGCAGCUUACCUUAAUAGCACCUGCUGGGAGAUAAGCAGUGAAAUUCCUUUCAUGUCCCAACUCUUCCUAGCAUCACAUGUGUUCAGGAACCUCCUCAAGCUCAGGGAAGAACAGGGUCAGAGUCUCUCCUACCGUAAGCCAGCGUAUUCGUUGUCAAAGUCGAGAGCAAGAAGCAAGGUUUUCAGCCCCUAGUUUGAACUCGAUUCCGGUGCAAACCAAAUGCCACACACACAUACAAAACAACUGGAAAAGCACCUAAACUCCUGAAAAUGCCUGAAAUCAGAGAGCUAAUAUGGAGAGUCUCCAGAUGUUCCUGAGAGACUGCACGUGCUUCCACCUCCUGCCUCAGCUAUGGAUGAAGGAAUCAGUGCCUGGAUAACAGAAUAAUCAGAGGACUGGAAGGCUUGCCAUAGGAGGAGGGGCUGAGAGAACUGUGUUUGUUCAGCCUUGAGAAGAGAAGGCUUAGGGAGGACCUUAUCACCACAUUCCAGUACGCAAAGGGUGGCUGCCAGAAGGAUGGAGACUCCCUUUUUACGAGUCAGGUGGAAAAGACAAGGGGUGAUGGGUGCAAGUUACUCCUGAGGAGAUUCAGAUUGGACUCCAGGAGAAUCUUUUUCACAAUGAGAACUGUUAGAAACUGGAAGACUCUCCUAAGGGAAGCAGUGGAUUCCCCUACACUGGUCAGUUUUAGGACUCAGCUUGAGAGGGUGCUGGGCCACUCAUUUAAACUACACUAUCACCUAGAAAGGUUGGCCCAGGUGAUCCUUGAGCUCCCUUCCAGCCUGCCAUUCUGUGAUUCCGUGGGUGCUGCAGCCUUGCCAUUUGCCAGGCCAAGCUGAAGUCCACAAUUAAAAGUCUGCUGGGUCUGAAAGGAGAAGAGAAAUCCCUGAGCCUACAGAAACUUUGAAAUCUAAUUAUUUCCUCCUCUCUUCAGUGUAAGGAGCUGAGUCUAUAAACACAUCCUCUCCAUCCUACAGCGUUCGCUACCCAGAAGCAUGAUCCUAGUUCUUGGGGUUUUCUUGCUGAAUACAUGAUACAGGGUGCUGAAGUCAUUAACAGCUUGGCUAACUGAACCUGUUCACAGAGUUUGAUUUCUGGCUAUUUGUGAGUAGCACAUGCAAGUCUCUGUCUCCUCAUAAGUCUCUCCUUGCUGGGCAGCCCACAAA